AUCACCUAGGAGAUGUGACACAUUUUUGUUGCCUGGGACCUGCCAAAUAAGAAGAUUGUGACAUAUCACUUGACCCAGCAUCUAGGUAAGACUGUGACAUAUAUCUUGGUCCAACUAACAGUUGCAAUAACGACUCUCAUGCCACACAUCAGCCAAUAGAAAGGAUACUGUCAGUUUUAGCUGGGAUUAGAGAAAAGGGUUCUGCCUGCAGGAAAGGUUGUGAUGUGUCUCUGGACCCAACGGUAAGGUGAUGUUACACUUUUGCCUUGGUUCUGACCUCAGAAAGC